rnacentral:rRNA from 1 species
ACACAUGCAAGUCGAGGGGCAGCAUUAUUUUAGCUUGCUAAGAUAGAUGGCGACCGGCGCACGGGUGCGUAACGCGUAUGCAACCUGCCUGUAAUUAGGGAAUAACCCGGUGAAAGUCGGGCUAAUACCCUAUAUUCUUCUUUCUCCGCAUGGAGGAGGACGGAAAGAUUUAUUGAUUACAGAUGGGCAUGCGUCCCAUUAGCUAGUUGGUAAGGUAACGGCUUACCAAGGCAACGAUGGGUAGGGGGACUGAGAGGUUGACCCCCCACACUGGUACUGAGACACGGACCAGACUCCUACGGGAGGCAGCAGUGAGGAAUAUUGGUCAAUGGGCGAGAGCCUGAACCAGCCAAGUCGCGUGAAGGACGACGGUUCUAUGGAUUGUAAACUUCUUUUGUAGAGGAAUAAUGGCAGCUACGCGUAGCUGAGAUGCAUGUACUCUACGAAUAAGUAUCGGCCAACUCCGUGCCAGCAGCCGCGGUAAUACGGAGGAUACGAGCGUUAUCCGGAAUUAUUGGGUUUAAAGGGUGCGUAGGUGGCGUAUUAAGUCAGUGGUGAAAAGCUGCAGCUCAACUGUAGUCUUGCCGUUGAAACUGAUAUGCUAGAGAGGAGACGAGGUAUGCGGAAUGUGUGGUGUAGCGGUGAAAUGCAUAGAUAUCACACAGAACGCCGAUUGCGAAGGCAGCGUACCAGGCUCCGUCUGACACUGAAGCACGAAAGCGUGGGGAUCAAACAGGAUUAGAUACCCUGGUAGUCCACGCAGUAAACGAUGAAUACUAGAUUUUUGCGAUAUAGUGUAAGAGUCUAAGCGAAAGCGAUAAGUAU